rnacentral:misc_RNA from 1 species
UUGAAAACAAAACCGGUAGGGGGCUGUCGCUGGCCUUUCGAGGCAUGUGCACGCCUUCGACCAACUCAUCCAACUUACCCUUGUGCACCUUUGCGUGGGUCCCUAGGUUUUAUGACCUCCGGGCUUGCGUUUUUCUAUACACACCAUAUGAAUGUUUGAGAAUGUCUUGUGCAGUAAAAUGUACCUUGUA